AGUAUGAUUUAGAGUGUAUGGAUUUGGUUUUGGUCCUGUAUCUUGGUUUUAGCUACAGAAAACACAUGGUACUUUAGGGGUCCCGGUGAGUAGGAGAAAUGUUAGAUUGGAUGGAGUUUAAAAUUUCGUUCUAUUUUUCAUUUUUAGGCAUAAUUAUAUCUGUAUGACGUCUAUUUUUAUUCACUAUACACCAGUGUUGGAGGUUGAACAAUGAAUUUUGGUUCGAUUCAGUGAGUUGUUAUUAAGGCCUGGUAAAGUUUGUGCCAGCAACUGCGGUUAGACAAACAGGCCAAGCUAAGAUUUGUGCAGCAUAAAGUAGGGUUAGGGGUACAAAAAGAAAAUUAGGUUUAAGGAAGUUUAAGAUAGCUUAAGGGGUGCAAUCCUAAGAGUUGUGGAUUUAGCUGGUAUUUCCUUUAUUUGCCUGACGCCCUGAGACUCCGGUGAAAAACCGGGAUUUGGUAUCCCGUUAUUCGGAGUGUAAACUUUGGUUUGUAAUCUGCUGGGGUACUACGAGCGUUAAAAUUAAAGCUGGGCUUAAAACUCAAAAAACUUGGCGGUGUUUCAUAUCCUCCCAGGGGAACCUGUCCCAUAAACGAUGAUCCACGUUUUAUCUUACCUUGUUUUGAAAUACUUACGUAAAAGUAGGUCAGCUUGUAUACCGUCGCCGACGGACCACCCUUGAGGGGUUUAAAGUGGUCGGGAAGAGAAGUUAAAAGUCUCAGUUUGGUUAGUCCUAUGAGGAUGAAUUGUAACUGUACUUGUUUUGCUAUCGUUCCUAAGGGUUCUAUAGUUGUGAAUUUCUCAGGAUGUCAGAUCAAGGUGCAGCUUAUGGCAAGGAGGUGAUGGGUUACAAUAAUUUAGUUAUUAUACGGAUUUUUUACUGUAAUGUAAAAUUUGAAGGCGGACUUGGAUGUAAUAUUAAAUUAAUAAGUUAUAGUGAACUAGGUUUUGAGAUGUGUACAAAUCGCCCGUCGCUCUCGUUGAAAAAUGAGAUAAGUCGUAACAUAGUAGGGGUACCGGAAGGUGUCCCUGGAAUAAGGUUAUU
rnacentral:rRNA from 1 species